CCGGAUGUAUUUCCAUCUGUACCCUAGGGAGGCAUGCUACCAUUGCGCUGAUGAUGGGGUGUGAAGCCCUCCCGACAAUGUACCGAAACGGGUAGAAACCGUGAGGUGAAAACCCAUCCGGAAAUUCCGUCCGGUUAAGGGC
rnacentral:ncRNA from 1 species